GGAUGGGUGGCAGAGUGGUCGAUCGCGCACGCUUGGAAAGCGUGUUUACCUUUAUCGGUAACGAGGGUUCGAAUCCCUCCCCAUCCG
rnacentral:tRNA from 1 species